CGCUGCGCCGCGCCGCACCGGCGGACGUUUGCCCGGCAGAGGCGCGCGGGACGGCCUCGAGGGUCAGCUGUUGGUUACCCCGCGGAGUGCCACGCGUCUGCUCUCGUGGUGCCCCGUUGUUGGGGGGGAGUGAGAAGGAGAAAGGCAGAGCAGAGAGCGCGCAACGCGGUCGCCGUGGCAACGCGGUUGAGUGGGCGUUUCGCCGAGCGUCGCCGUCAGAGGUAGUCGGCGAGCUCACGUCCACAUGGCGAAGCCGGCUUACCGUGCCCGAUCCGGAGCCCCGCGGUGCCCCCCGGUUAAGCCACAGUGAAUGGGGACCCACCAGAAUGCCUUGACAUCACAAUAAGGUGUGCCUCACAAUGCCUGGGUGAGCCCUGAAGCCUACAUGGCACCUGUGGGACUGCUGUGGGAAAGAAGAUCAACAACAGCCAUGAUUUGAUGAAGUGCAUCCAGAUCAUUCAACAUGCUAGAAACUGAUGUAGGAUGCACAGACUCGUGAAUCCCUCUGCCCCACUAGUCGCUGAACUGGGCUGAAGCAGCCCAUAAACCACUGACAGAGAACCUCAUGAAGUUCAACAAAG
ensembl:lncRNA